rnacentral:rRNA from 1 species
AUACGGAGGAUCCGAGCGUUAUCCGGAUUUAUUGGGUUUAAAGGGUGCGCAGGCGGCCGUUUAAGUCAGCGGUUAAAUCGUGGGGCUCAACCCCAUUCUGCCGUUGAUACUGGGUGGCUUGAUUGCGGUCGAGGUUGGCGGAAUUCGUUGUGUAGCGGGGAAAUGCAUAGAUAUGACGAAGAACACCGAUUGCGUAGGCAGCUGACCAGAUCGCAAAUGACGCUCAUGCACGAAAGUGCGGGGAUCGAACAGGAUUAGAUACCCUGGUAGUCCGCACAGUAAACGAUGAAUACUUGUUUUCGGCGAUAUAAUGUCGGAGGCAAAGCGAAAGCGAUAAGUAUUCCACCUGGGGAGUACGCCGGCAACGGUGAAACUCAAAUGAAUUGACGGGG